rnacentral:piRNA from 1 species
UAUUUGACCUGGACGGACUUAUUCUGAAU